rnacentral:tRNA from 1 species
GCGGAAGUAGUUUAGUGGUAGAAUGCAACCUUCCCAAGGUUAAAAUGCGAGUUCGAUUCUCGUCUUCCGCU